rnacentral:rRNA from 1 species
GAUGAACGCUGGCGGUAUGCUUAACACAUGCAAGUCGAACGAAGACUUGCGGGUCUGCGUGGCGGACGGGUGAGUAACGCGGUAGAAUCUGGCUUAAGGUUGGGGACAAGCACGGGAAACGGUGGCUAAUACCCAAUGUGCCGCUUAGGAGAAAGAUUAAUGGCCUGAAGUUGUUCGCGAGUCUGAUUAGCUAGAUGGGGGCGUAAGAGCUUACCAAGGCGACGAUCAGUCGCCGGCCCGAGAGGACGAUCGGCACCAAGGGGACUGAGACGCGGCGCAGAAUCCUGGGGGAGGCGACAGUGGGGAAUUUCCCGCACUGGGCGACCGCCUUGCAGGGCAAUACCGCGUGGGGUAGGAAGCCUCUUGGGUUGUAAACUUCUUUUCUCAGCGAGGAAGGAAAUGACGGUACCUGAAGAAUCAGCAUCGGCUAACUCCGUG